rnacentral:misc_RNA from 1 species
ACUUCCCCCUCCCCCCUCCCUUCCUCUCUCCUCCCUUUUCCCUCCUUUCCUUGUCUCCUUCUUCUUCCUCUUCUUUCCCCCAGCCCCCCUCCUCCCUGUCCCCCUCUCUCCCUGCUCCACGCAGUGUCCCACUGCCCGCCUUUCUCUGCAGCUGGCUGGUAUGGAGGGGGCUGCCCUGAGGAGCCCCAGAGUAAGCUGGAAGGGAGGGGACAGAGGCUGGUGUCAUUUGUCUCUGUAGCCCUAGGACCGGUCUGAACCGGUUGCUGGGAGAGGAGGAGGGGGCGGCCAGAUCGAUUGCAGCAAAGAGGGAAGAGAGCGGCAGAGGGAGCUCGCGGGGCUUGCGUGCUGGAACACGCCGAUGGCCUGUGCCACCGCCUCACCACCGUGUGCCCCACGUCCAAGCCGCAGACUCAGGGCCUGGCCAAGGAUGCCUGGGAGAUCCCUCGGGAGUCGCUGCGGCUGGAGGUCAAGCUGGGCCAGGGCUGCUUUGGCGAGGUGUGGAUGGGGACCUGGAACGGUACCACCAGGGUGGCCAUCAAAACCCUGAAGCCUGGCACGAUGUCUCCAGAGGCCUUCCUGCAGGAGGCCCAGGUCAUGAAGAAGCUGAGGCAUGAGAAGCUGGUGCAGUUGUAUGCUGUGGUUUCAGAGGAGCCCAUUUACAUCGUCACGGAGUACAUGAGCAAGGGGAGUUUGCUGGACUUUCUCAAGGGGGAGACAGGCAAGUACCUGCGGCUGCCUCAGCUGGUGGACAUGGCUGCUCAGAUCGCCUCAGGCAUGGCGUACGUGGAGCGGAUGAACUACGUCCACCGGGACCUUCGUGCAGCCAACAUCCUGGUGGGAGAGAACCUGGUGUGCAAAGUGGCGGACUUUGGGCUGGCUCGGCUCAUUGAAGACAAUGAGUACACGGCGCGGCAAGGUGCCAAAUUCCCCAUCAAGUGGACGGCUCCAGAAGCUGCCCUCUAUGGCCGCUUCACCAUCAAGUCGGACGUGUGGUCCUUCGGGAUCCUGCUGACUGAGCUCACCACAAAGGGACGGGUGCCCUACCCUGGGAUGGUGAACCGCGAGGUGCUGGACCAGGUGGAGCGGGGCUACCGGAUGCCCUGCCCGCCGGAGUGUCCCGAGUCCCUGCACGACCUCAUGUGCCAGUGCUGGCGGAAGGAGCCUGAGGAGCGGCCCACCUUCGAGUACCUGCAGGCCUUCCUGGAGGACUACUUCACGUCCACCGAGCCCCAGUACCAGCCCGGGGAGAACCUCUAGGCACAGGCGGGCCCAGACCGGCUUCUCGGCUUGGAUCCUGGGCUGGGUGGCCCCUGUCUCGGGGCUUGCCCCACUCUGCCUGCCUGCUGUUGGUCCUCUCUCUGUGGGGCUGAAUUGCCAGGGGCGAGGCCCUUCCUCUUUGGUGGCAUGGAAGGGGCUUCUGGACCUAGGGUGGCCUGAGAGGGCGGUGGGUAUGCGAGACCAGCACGGUGACUCUGUCCAGCUCCCGCUGUGGCCGCACGCCUCUCCCUGCACUCCCUCCUGGAGCUCUGUGGGUCUCUGGAAGAGGAACCAGGAGAAGGGCUGGGGCCGGGGCUGAGGGUGCCCUUUUCCAGCCUCAGCCUACUCCGCUCACUGAACUCCUUCCCCACUUCUGUGCCACCCCCGGUCUAUGUCGAGAGCUGGCCAAAGAGCCUUUCCAAAGAGGAGCGAUGGGCCCCUGGCCCCGCCUGCCUGCCACCCUGCCCCUUGCCAUCCAUUCUGGAAACACCUGUAGGCAGAGGCUGCCGAGACAGACCCUCUGCCGCUGCUUCCAGGCUGGGCAGCACAAGGCCUUGCCUGGCCUGAUGAUGGUGGGUGGGUGGGAUGAGUACCCCCUCAAACCCUGCCCUCCUUAGACCUGAGGGACCCUUCGAGAUCAUCACUUCCUUGCCCCCAUUUCACCCAUGGGGAGACAGUUGAGAGCGGGGAUGUGACAUGCCCAAGGCCACGGAGCAGUUCAGAGUGGAGGCGGGCUUGGAACCCGGUGCUCCCUCUGUCAUCCUCAGGAACCAACAAUUCGUCGGAGGCAUCAUGGAAAGACUGGGACAGCCCAGGAAACAAGGGGUCUGAGGAUGCAUUCGAGAUGGCAGAUUCCCACUGCCGCUGCCCGCUCAGCCCAGCUGUUGGGAACAGCAUGGAGGCAGAUGUGGGGCUGAGCUGGGGAAUCAGGGUAAAAGGUGCAGGUGUGGAGAGAGAGGCUUCAAUCGGCUUGUGGGUGAUGUUUGACCUUCAGAGCCAGCCGGCUAUGAAAGGGAGCGAGCCCCUCGGCUCUGGAGGCAAUCAAGCAGACAUAGAAGAGCCAAGAGUCCAGGAGGCCCUGGUCCUGGCCUCCUUCCCCGUACUUUGUCCCGUGGCAUUUCAAUUCCUGGCCCUGUUCUCCUCCCCAAGUCGGCACCCUUUAACUCAUGAGGAGGGAAAAGAGUGCCUAAGCGGGGGUGAAAGAGGACGUGUUACCCACUGCCAUGCACCAGGACUGGCUGUGUAACCUUGGGUGGCCCCUGCUGUCUCUCUGGGCUGCAGAGUCUGCCCCACAUGUGGCCAUGGCCUCUGCAACUGCUCAGCUCUGGUCCAGGCCCUGUGGCAGGACACACAUGGUGAGCCUAGCCCUGGGACAUCAGGAGACUGGGCUCUGGCUCUGUUCGGCCUUUGGGUGUGUGGUGGAUUCUCCCUGGGCCUCAGUGUGCCCAUCUGUAAAGGGGCAGCUGACAGUUUGUGGCAUCUUGCCAAGGGUCCCUGUGUGUGUGUAUGUGUGUGCAUGUGUGCGUGUCUCCAUGUGCGUCCAUAUUUAACAUGUAAAAAUGUCCCCCCCGCUCCGUCCCCCAAACAUGUUGUACAUUUCACCAUGGCCCCCUCAUCAUAGCAAUAACAUUCCCACUGCCAGGGGUUCUUGAGCCAGCCAGGCCCUGCCAGUGGGGAAGGAGGCCAAGCAGUGCCUGCCUAUGAAAUUUCAACUUUUCCUUUCAUACGUCUUUAUUACCCAAGUCUUCUCCCGUCCAUUCCAGUCAAAUCUGGGCUCACUCACCCCAGCGAGCUCUCAAAUCCCUCUCCAACUGCCUAAGGCCCUUUGUGUAAGGUGUCUUAAUACUGUCCUUUUUUUUUUUUUAACAGUGUUUUGUAGAUUUCAGAUGACUAUGCAGAGGCCUGGGGGACCCCUGGCUCUGGGCCGGGCCUGGGGCUCCGAAAUUCCAAGGCCCAGACUUGCGGGGGGUGGGGGGGUAUCCAGAAUUGGUUGUAAAUACUUUGCAUAUUGUCUGAUUAAACACAAACAGACCUCAGAAUCUG